CGGGUGAGUAACACAUCGGAACAUACCCAGUCGUGGGGGAUAACACUUCGAAAGAAGUGCUAAUACCGCAUACGUCCUGAGGGAGAAAGCGGGGGAUCUUCGGACCUCGCGCGAUUGGAGUGGCCGAUGUCAGAUUAGCUAGUUGGUGGGGUAAAGGCCUACCAAGGCGACGAUCUGUAGCUGGUCUGAGAGGACGACCAGCCACACUGGGACUGAGACACGGCCCAG
rnacentral:rRNA from 1 species